rnacentral:rRNA from 1 species
UCCGUAGGUGGAUAAUUAAGUCAGAGGUGAAAUCCUGCAGCUCAACUGUAGAAUUGCCUUUGAUACUGGUUAUCUUGAGUCAUUAUGAAGUGGUUAGAAUGUGUAGUGUAGCGGUGAAAUGCAUAGAUAUUACAUAGAAUACCGAUUGCGAAGGCAGAUCACUAAUAAUGUACUGACACUGAGGGACGAAAGCGUGGGGAGCGAACAGGAUUAGAUACCCUGGUAGUCC